ensembl:lncRNA
GGAAAACAUUUACACCAUUAGAAAUAAACCCCAGUUGACUCACCUCCUCCAACUUCAGAAUCUGCACUGAAACAAACGUUACACAGAAACAUUACAUUUUAUUUACCCUAUCUUCUAAUACCAUGAAAGCAGCAAUAGUGAAAAUCAGUAUCCCCAGAUGGUGAAGAGUUGUUCAGGGUGCCCUUCCUCACCUGCACAGAGGAUGGUGAGAAUGCAACGUCCCUCUGAAGCUCUCUGAGGGCUUGGUGAAAAGAUUUCAUCUGCACCAGCCUCUGGAGGAGGGCCCUUAUGGAACACAAGAUCACUCUUUGUGCAAAGAUCAAAAUUAAAAUAUGCCUCAACAGGUUACUGUUUGGUCUCAGUGAUCUGCAGAUCAGGAAGACAUGAAUAGCGCGCUGCGAUCGGACAAGUAUAAUGAAAACAUUUCACUGAUGUACCUGGUGAUGCCUGAGAAUGCCAGCUUUCAGAUGAAGCCUUCAGCUCUUUAUCUGAGCUCUAAUGUUUUGUAGAUAAAUGAUCACAUAGUAGUUUUGAAAAGUGCACAGAGACAACCCCAGGACAACAAAGUCCCCCAGCAUCACCUUGAUGGAUCUUGUUGGUAGAGAUACACUCUUCAUGUACUUUCUAUCUGGUUUAACAUCCU